rnacentral:rRNA from 1 species
UACAGAGGGUGCAAGCGUUGUUCGGAAUUACUGGGCGUAAAGCGCGUGUAGGCGGCGUCGUUAGUCGGAUGUGAAAGCCCUCGGCUCAACCGAGGAAGUGCAUCCGAUACUGCGAUGCUUGAGUGUUGGAGGGGGUGGCGGAAUUCCCGGUGUAGAGGUGAAAUUCGUAGAUAUCGGGAGGAACACCGGUGGCGAAGGCGGCGACCUGGGUAGAUACUGACGCUGAGGUGCGAAAGCGUGGGGAGCAAACAGG